rnacentral:rRNA from 1 species
GACGAACGCUGGCGGCGUGCUUAACACAUGCAAGUCGAACGGAAAGGCCCUGCUUUUGUGGGGUGCUCGAGUGGCGAACGGGUGAGUAACACGUGAGUAACCUGCCCUUGACUUUGGGAUAACUUCAGGAAACUGGGGCUAAUACCGGAUAGGAGCUCCUGCUGCAUGGUGGGGGUUGGAAAGUUUCGGCGGUUGGGGAUGGACUCGCGGCUUAUCAGCUUGUUGGUGGGGUAGUGGCUUACCAAGGCUUUGACGGGUAGCCGGCCUGAGAGGGUGGCCGGCCACAUUGGGACUGCGAUACGGCGCAGACUCCUACGGGAGGCAGCAGUGGGGAAUAUUGCACAAUGGGCGGAAGCCUGAUGCAGCAACGCCGCGUGCGGGAUGACGGCCUUCGGGUUGUAAACCGCUUUCGCCUGUGACGAAGCGUGAGUGACGGUAAUGGGUAAAGAAGCACCGGCUAACUACGUG